GUGUGUCGCUGGGGGAGGCCUGUGCCUGAGAUUUCGGAUUUUCCCGAAAGACCCCUCGCACCUGAUCCGGAUAAUACCGGCGUAGGGAAGCGGCUUUGGCAUAAC
rnacentral:ncRNA from 2 species